rnacentral:rRNA from 1 species
GUCUAUAGCCAUGCUAUCCUGAAGAAGCCUGAUCCUGUCUGAUUUUGGAAGCUGGGUUGGGCCUGGUUAGUACUUGGAUAGGAGACCACCUAGGGAAGACCAGGUGCUGUAGGCG